UAUCUAGUGGCGACGGGUGAGUAACGCGUGGGUAACCUGCCUUAUACAGGGGGAUAACACUUAGAAUAGGUGCUAAUACCGCAUAAGCGCACGGGGCUGCAUGGCCCAGUGUGAAAAACUCCGGUGGUAUAAGAUGGACCCGCGUCUGAUUAGCUUGUUGGCGGGGUAACGGCCCACCAAGGCGACGAUCAGUAGCCGGCCUGAGAGGGUGGACGGCCACAUUGGGACUGAGACACGGCCCAAACUCCUACGGGAGGCAGCAG
rnacentral:rRNA from 1 species